rnacentral:ncRNA from 1 species
CUCGUGUCGUGAGAUGUUGGGUUAAGUCCCGCAACGAGCGCAACCCUUAAGCUUAGUUGCCAUCAUUAAGUUGGGCACUCUAAGUUGACUGCCGGUGACAAACCGGAGGAAGGUGGGGAUGACGUCAAAUCAUCAUGCCCCUUAUGAUUUGGGCUACACACGUGCUACAAUGGACAAUACAAAGGGCAGCUAAACCGCGAGGUCAAGCAAAUCCCAUAAAGUUGUUCUCAGUUCGGAUUGUAGUCUGCAACUCGACUACAUGAAGCUGGAAUCGCUAGUAAUCGUAGAUCAGCAUGCUACGGUGAAUACGUUCCCGGGUCUUGUACACACCGCCCGUCACACCACGAGAGUUUGUAACACCCGAAGCCGGUGGAGUAACCAUUUAUGGAGCUAGCCGUCGAAGGUGGGACAAAUGAUUGGGGUGAAGUCGUAACAAGGUAGCCGUAUCGGAAGGUGCGGCUGGAUCACCUCCUUU